rnacentral:tRNA from 1 species
AGUUAACUAGCUUAUAAUAAAGCACAUAUUUUGAAAAUAUGAGAAGGAGAUAAUUUCCUUUAACUU